rnacentral:rRNA from 1 species
AUUGAACGCUGGCGGCAGGCCUAACACAUGCAAGUCGAGCGGUAGAGAGGUGCUUGCAUCUCUUGAGAGCGGCGGACGGGUGAGUAAUGCCUAGGAAUCUGCCUAGUGGUGGGGGAUAACGUUCGGAAACGGACGCUAAUAUCGCAUACGUCCUACGGGAGAAAGCGGGGGAUCUUCGGACCUCGCGCCAUUAGAUGAGCCUAGGUCGGAUUAGCUAGUUGGUGAGGUAAUGGCUCACCAAGGCGACGAUCCGUAACUGGUCUGAGAGGAUGAUCAGUCACACUGGAACUGAGACACGGUCCAGACUCCUACGGGAGGCAGCAGUGGGGAAUAUUGGACAAUGGCGAAAGACCUGAUCCAGCCAUGCCGCGUGUGUGAAGAAGGUACUUCGGAUUGUAAAGCACUUUAAGUUGGGUAGGAAGGGUAGGUAACCUAAU